rnacentral:rRNA from 1 species
GACGAACCGUGCGAACGUUAUUCGGAAUCACUGGGCUUAAAGGGCGCGUAGGCGGGUCGGUAAGUCAGGGGUGAAAUCCCACGGCCCAACCGUGGAAGUGCCUCUGAUACUGCCGGCCUCGAGGGGGAUCGGGGCGUGCGGAACUCAGGGUGGAGCGGUGAAAUGCGUAGAUAUCCUGAGGAACACCGGUGGCGAAAGCGGCGCGCUGGAUCCCUUCUGACGCUGAGGCGCGAAAGCCAGGGGAGCAAACGGG